rnacentral:lncRNA from 1 species
CACUUUGGAGCACCAACCCCCAGCCCAUAUUCUCUCUGUGGUUGCUCUUUCCAUGUUCCCUGUCCCGUUCCCAUAUUCCCAUCCCAGGUCUCAUUCACAGUCCCUGUCCCCAUUCCCGGUCCCUAUCUCCAUUCCCUGACCCCAUCCCCGCUCCCUGUCCCCAUUCUCAUUCUCAUUCCCCGGUCCCAUGGCCGCUCCUUAUCCCCAUUCUCGCUCCCUGUCCCCAUUCCCGCUCCCUGUCCCCAUUCCCGCUCCCUGUCCCCUCUCACUGGACGCCGCCGCCAUCGCUCCGGCCCCUCCGGCCCUCACAUAACCGAGCAAAUCCCGCGCUGCUCCCGCCCACCAAUCCCAGCGCGCGAUCUCUCCUGUAUUUGCAUAACCACUCCCUGCGGUUUGGCCCCGCUCACCGCAUGGAGUGGUUAUGCAGCCGUCUGCAGCCGCCUCCGGGCUCUGUUUGCUCCCAGUUCCCUCCCAGUGCUCCCAGUAAGAGCGGGACUGGCAGGGAAAGAGCUCCCAAUUCCUUCCUGCUGCUCUCAGAAUCUCUCCCGCUGCUCCCAGGAUCUCUCCCAGUGCCGCGCGGGACGGGCCCGCUGUGAAACCAGCCCAGGGCAGAGCGCGGCUACUUUUGGAGGUCGGCACUGCCCGGGCCAGGCUGGGGGCGGAGGAGGAGCGGGAGGAAGAGGAGGGACGGAGGAGGAGGAGGAGGAGGAGGGGGAGGAGGAGGAGCAGCACCAACGCCCCGCGGUUUCCCCGCUCAGGCCGCCGCUCCCCCUGUUCCGCCAGCAUCGGCCCCUCCGCCAGAACCCGCAGGUGAGCGGGAUGGGGGAACUCGCCCCAUCCCAUCGGAGGGGUCUCCGGGAUGGUUUUUUUGCAAGGCAGGGAAUGUUUGGGAUCUUGCAGGGCCCCAGAGCUCGGCCGGAAAUGCUCCUGCAGGCAUCUUGCGGGGGGUCCCACUUGGCGAUCGCCCGGUACCGGCGGGCACAGGGGCGAUCUCGCAUUUGGGGAUACGCGGGAGAGCCGGGGGGAACGCGGGAGCCCCGGAGCGGGGAGAGCGCAGAGGGGCGAUCCCGGAGCCGGGGGACAAACCGGCUGCCUGGAGGGGUGCGGGAGGCUGGGGAUGAGCGGGCUCCGGGCCCCUUGAGGCUGAAAGGGGGGCUGACUUCUCCAGCUGCUCUUGGGCAGCGGCAC